rnacentral:rRNA from 1 species
GGUUAAGCGACUAAGCGUACACGGUGGAUGCCCUGGCAGUCAGAGGCGAUGAAGGACGUGCUAAUCUGCGAAAAGCGUCGGUAAGGUGAUAUGAACCGUUAUAACCGGCGAUGUCCGAAUGGGGAAACCCAGUGUGUUUCGACACACUAUCAUUAACUGAAUCCAUAGGUUAAUGAGGCGAACCGGGGGAACUGAAACAUCUAAGUACCCCGAGGAAAAGAAAUCAACCGAGAUUCCCCCAGUAGCGGCGAGCGAACGGGGAGGAGCCCAGAGCCUGAAUCAGUGUGUGUGUUAGUGGAAGCGUCUGGAAAGGCGCGCGAUACAGGGUGACAGCCCCGUACACAAAAAUGCACAUGCUGUGAGCUCGAUGAGUAGGGCGGGACACGUGGUAUCCUGUCUGAAUAUGGGGGGACCAUCCUCCAAGGCUAAAUACUCCUGACUGACCGAUAGUGAACCAGUACCGUGAGGGAAAGGCGAAAAGAACCCCGGCGAGGGGAGUGAAAAAGAACCUGAAACCGUGUACGUACAAGCAGUGGGAGCCCUGAUUUAUCAGGGUGACUGCGUACCUUUUGUAUAAUGGGUCAGCGACUUAUAUUCUGUAGCAAGGUUAACCGAAUAGGGGAGCCGGAGGGAAACCGAGUCUUAACUGGGCGUUAAGUUGCAGGGUAUAGACCCGAAACCCGGUGAUCUAGCCAUGGGCAGGUUGAAGGUUGGGUAACACUAACUGGAGGACCGAACCGACUAAUGUUGAAAAAUUAGCGGAUGACUUGUGGCUGGGGGUGAAAGGCCAAUCAAACCGGGAGAUAGCUGGUUCUCCCCGAAAGCUAUUUAGGUAGCGCCUCGUGAAUUCAUCUCCGGGGGUAGAGCACUGUUUCGGCAAGGGGGUCAUCCCGACUUACCAACCCGAUGCAAACUGCGAAUACCGGAGAAUGUUAUCACGGGAGACACACGGCGGGUGCUAACGUCCGUCGUGAAGAGGGAAACAACCCAGACCGCCAGCUAAGGUCCCAAAGUCAUGGUUAAGUGGGAAACGAUGUGGGAAGGCCCAGACAGCCAGGAUGUUGGCUUAGAAGCAGCCAUCAUUUAAAGAAAGCGUAAUAGCUCACUGGUCGAGUCGGCCUGCGCGGAAGAUGUAACGGGGCUAAACCAUGCACCGAAGCUGCGGCAGCGACACUGUGUGUUGUUGGGUAGGGGAGCGUUCUGUAAGCCUGCGAAGGUGUGCUGUGAGGUAUGCUGGAGGUAUCAGAAGUGCGAAUGCUGACAUAAGUAACGAUAAAGCGGGUGAAAAGCCCGCUCGCCGGAAGACCAAGGGUUCCUGUCCAACGUUAAUCGGGGCAGGGUGAGUCGACCCCUAAGGCGAGGCCGAAAGGCGUAGUCGAUGGGAAACAGGUUAAUAUUCCUGUACUUGGUGUUACUGCGAAGGGGGGACGGAGAAGGCUAUGUUGGCCGGGCGACGGUUGUCCCGGUUUAAGCGUGUAGGCUGGUUUUCCAGGCAAAUCCGGAGAAUCAAGGCUGAGGCGUGAUGACGAGGCACUACGGUGCUGAAGCGACAAAUGCCCUGCUUCCAGGAAAAGCCUCUAAGCAUCAGGUAACAUCAAAUCGUACCCCAAACCGACACAGGUGGUCAGGUAGAGAAUACCAAGGCGCUUGAGAGAACUCGGGUGAAGGAACUAGGCAAAAUGGUGCCGUAACUUCGGGAGAAGGCACGCUGAUAUGUAGGUGAAGCGACUUGCUCGUGGAGCUGAAAUCAGUCGAAGAUACCAGCUGGCUGCAACUGUUUAUUAAAAACACAGCACUGUGCAAACACGAAAGUGGACGUAUACGGUGUGACGCCUGCCCGGUGCCGGAAGGUUAAUUGAUGGGGUCAGCGCAAGCGAAGCUCUUGAUCGAAGCCCCGGUAAACGGCGGCCGUAACUAUAACGGUCCUAAGGUAGCGAAAUUCCUUGUCGGGUAAGUUCCGACCUGCACGAAUGGCGUAAUGAUGGCCAGGCUGUCUCCACCCGAGACUCAGUGAAAUUGAACUCGCUGUGAAGAUGCAGUGUACCCGCGGCAAGACGGAAAGACCCCGUGAACCUUUACUAUAGCUUGACACUGAACACUGGUCCUUGAUGUGUAGGAUAGGUGGGAGGCUUUGAAGUGUGGACGCCAGUCUGCAUGGAGCCGUCCUUGAAAUACCACCCUUUAAUGGCUGGUGUUCUAACGUUGGCCCCUUAUCGGGGUUGCGGACAGUGUCUGGUGGGUAGUUUGACUGGGGCGGUCUCCUCCUAAAGAGUAACGGAGGAGCACGAAGGUUGGCUAAUCCUGGUCGGACAUCAGGAGGUUAGUGCAAUGGCAUAAGCCAGCUUGACUGCGAGCGUGACGGCGCGAGCAGGUGCGAAAGCAGGUCAUAGUGAUCCGGUGGUUCUGAAUGGAAGGGCCAUCGCUCAACGGAUAAAAGGUACUCCGGGGAUAACAGGCUGAUACCGCCCAAGAGUUCAUAUCGACGGCGGUGUUUGGCACCUCGAUGUCGGCUCAUCACAUCCUGGGGCUGAAGUAGGUCCCAAGGGUAUGGCUGUUCGCCAUUUAAAGUGGUACGCGAGCUGGGUUUAGAACGUCGUGAGACAGUUCGGUCCCUAUCUGCCGUGGGCGCUGGAGAACUGAGGGGGGCUGCUCCUAGUACGAGAGGACCGGAGUGGACGCAUCACUGGUGUUCGGGUUGUCAUGCCAAUGGCACUGCCCGGUAGCUAAAUGCGGAAGAGAUAAGUGCUGAAAGCAUCUAAGCACGAAACUUGCCCCGAGAUGAGUUCUCCCUGAGACUUAGAGUCUCCUGAAGGAACGUUGAAGACGACGACGUUGAUAGGCCGGGUGUGUAAGCGCAGCGAUGCGUUGAGCUAACCGGUACUAAUGAACCGUGAGGCUUAACCUU